CAACUUCUGAAUGUUGACCUCGAAUCAGGUAGGAAUACCCGCUGAACUUAAGCAUAUCAAU
rnacentral:rRNA from 1 species